AGCAGCCGCGGUAAUUCCAGCUCCAAUAGCGUAUAUUAAAGUUGUUGCAGUUAGAAAGCUCGUAGUUGAAUUUCGGGGUUAGUAGGUUGGUCAUGCCUCUGGUAUGUACUGGUCUCACUGAUUCCUCCUUCCUGAUGAACCGUAAUGCCAUUAAUUUGGUGUUGCGGGGAAUUUGGACUGUUACUUUGAAAAAAUUAGAGUGUUUAAAGCAAGCUAACGCUUGAAUACAUUAGCAUGGAAUAAUGAAAUAGGACGUUCGAUCUUAUUUUGUUGGUUUCUAGGAUUGACGUAAUGAUUAAUAGGGAUAGUUGGGGGCAUUAGUAUUCAACUGUCAGAGGUGAAAUUCUUGGAUUUAUUGAAGACUAACUACUGCGAAAGCAUUUGCCAAGGAUGUUUUCAUUAAUCAAGAACGAAGUUAGGGGAUCG
rnacentral:rRNA from 1 species